AUUUGUCUGCUCCUCUUCCUCUCUCUCUGUGUGUGUGCGUGUGAACCCUGACGAUCAAAAUUACAUUUUGAUUUGCAUUCUAUAGUUCCCCGAAACCCUAUCAGAUGGCUACGUCACUAAUCAACAAAACCCUCAAUUCAAUCAAAACCCCUAAUUUCCUCACUCCACUCUCAUCAUCCCUCACUCGCCACUUUACCUCCGUCGCCACCGCCCAACAACACUCGCAGUCCGAUGGCCCAUCUUCCUCCUUCACCUUCACCGACAACACUAACGCCUCCGGUGAUAGCAUAUUAGUCAAGGCACCCAAUUCGAAUGGGAAACGUGAUUCGGCGUCGUCGUCUUCAGUAACAAUGCCAAUGGCGUUUAUGACUGGAUCGAUUGUGGGCAAGAGGUUUUACAAGCAAGUGACUACGAGAGAGGCGGAUGAUGGGAAUGGAUGGACGGUGAUGCUUGAUUAUAGGACGCUUAAGACUCCUUCUAAAAGGCCACUGAAAUUGCCCUCUUUAGCCCUCGCUAAGGCCAUUGCUGCUGAAUGGGAGUAUCAGCAAACAGAUGGGAUCAGGCCUUUUACAAUGCCUCUCAUGAAACUUGCGUGUACUGCACUGGAGAGAGUUCCACUCACGCGACCAAAAAUUAUAGAACACUUGAUGAAGAAAUUUAAUAAAGAUUUAGUUUUCUGUCGUGCCCCAGAGGAUAAUGCUCUCACCAGUGGUGUCUAUGAGCUACAAGUGGAGAAAAUUGAUCCCUUGCUUGAUUGGGUGAAAUCCGAAUUUGGCUUUAUGCCUGUUGUGUACUCGAGUUUUUUUGGUGGCAAGCAGGAGGAGGGUCUGGUGAAGGCAUUAGAAGAUCUUUUGAAGAAAACGGACAACUGUGAAUUGGCAUCAAUUGAUGCAAUUGCAUCAGCAGCCCAUUCCUUGGUAAUUGCUAUUGGAAUCUUUCGUGGAAAAUUGAAUAUUGAGGAAGCCAUUGAGUUGAUCAGACUUGAAGAAGAUUUGCAGGUUGACAAGUGGGGCUUAGUUGAAGGUGGUCAUGAUGUAGAUAUCGCUGAUCUGAGGGUACAGAUAUCAUCUGCCACUGUGUUCCUUGGUCUUUCAAGGAUUUGAGCUCUGUGUGUGGCAUUUUGCUCUUAAUGUUCAACCUAAAUUCUAGCUUUAAUGCUUGUUUGUCUUUUAAGAUGUAGAUCGUAGAAUAUAUGUAAUGCUUGAGGUUUUGUCAGAAUCGUAGUUAAUUGCUAAGAUAAAGUAUCAUAAUAAUUGAAUUCAGAACUAGAACCAGUUUUUUUGCUAUUACAAUCAAGAGAAUUCACAAUUCUAGUUUUUCUCGUUGCCACUGGAGAAUUUAUAUUUUGUCCCAUGCAGUCCUGUUUGAAAGUGCUUUAAAAUGCUUGUGUCUAUGAAUUGUAGGAUUUAGAAUGAAGGAAAUGUGUGUGGGUUAAGUCUGCGGUCACCGAGGCAUGGAUAAAUGGUUGAAGUUGAUCACAUUACGAAUUAUUUGCAAUUAGCUAUAUUCCUUGUUAAUGCCACUGUAGGUUUGUAGCAAGAGCUUUAUUAUUCUUAAUCAGAUUUUGGGUUAUAUAUAAUCAAAUAGUGCUGAGUUGCACAAAUCUCCUGGAUAGGCAGUGCUUGACACAUUGUGGCCUUAGUUCUCUCAAAAAAGUCGGCUCUUUUCUUUUCUGGUGGGUAGGUUUUUGGCAUUGUCAAUCUUCAACUACCUGUAAUGAACUAAUAAUUGUAAUAAAGAGUUUGGUUAGUAAUAGAUGUGUCGAUAUAUAUAACAAAUCAGCAGCUAGGGUGCUGGUAUUAUUUUUUAGUUUUUUUUCAUAUUCCUCUAUUAGUUCAUAACAUCUACUUGAUUGUUGAAACCAGGUGAGGUUUGUUUUCCCUGUGUUUCAUGGGAUGGUUAUUGUUGAAUUACGUGAAUUUUUUUUCCUUUUUCUAUAUUUUUUAGGGCCUACUUCAGAGGUUUUGAAGAUUCGAAGCUAGAGCUUCUUCAGUUUGAUUUUCUAUUAAUUUAUUCACCUCAUUAUCUCUUUCCAAGUUUUUGUCAAAUGCCUUACUUCUCCUUGAAAUCAUAAGAUUGAUUUUCCUUUAUACAUAAUAUUCAAAUGAAUACGUCAUCGGACAGGCUUUAGUAAGGUGCAGUUGGUAUUUGAGAGGGCAGUCUUUUUCCUCCUAGUUUUUGGUACAGGGCAAGCUGAUUGCUGAUGCUUCAAGUGUUGAGGGAAUGCAUAUAAUACCUGCAAAAUGAUAUGUUUUGAGAUGAAACAGGCAAACAACUCAAGGGUCUCCUUGGCAGCAUUGGACGCAUAGCGGUGGCUGUUUCUCAAUGUCACAGUUGCAGCAGGAGCUAUCACAGUCGUUGUUGCAUCCUACAGAAGAACCAAGUUCAUGUUAGCAACUGGUUUUCCAAAUACCACAUCUUAUAAAAUUCAAUUUAAGUCCUAUUUCUGUGCCUGUCCGUUCUUUUGUAUAGUUGGCAUACCAUUCUGACUUUGCAGAGUCCAUCAACACACAAGGAUUCGGUUACAUUACCUGUUAUAGUUACAAAUUGGGGUGGUUGUUCAGGGUAAUGAGGGUUUAGAAGUGAAAUCCGUGCGCUUGCUUGGAAGGUGUUUUUUCCCAGAAUGAUAAUGAAAACUAUUAUCCAAGCAAUUCCUGACAUCUUCAUUGCAGCAUUAUUGAUCGAAGUGAACAACAGAAAAGUAGCUGCUUAGUGGAUGAAGUUUUCUCAUUAAUAAGGCUUUAUAUAGGCCCUUUUUGAAGCUGAAGUUCAGAGGAUGAUGAACCUAACUCAUUAUGAUAUUACUCAGAAUUUAGAAUCUGUUAGUAUAUAUGUUCUAUACGUGUUUUUGAAUAUAUGAAGAGAUCAUUCGGAAACUGUGUAGAGUACUAAAGAUUUAUUCUAUGGUGUGAUUAUAUUGUUAUAACUUUUCGGGGGUAGAAAAUGAAUCACAGCAAUCAUAUGAGGAGAGCA
rnacentral:misc_RNA from 1 species